GCCAGGCGUGGGGGCGCACGCCUGUAGUCCCAGCUACUCAGGAGGCUGAGGCAGGAGAAUUGCUUGAACCCAGGAGGUGGAGGCUGCAGUGAGCCACUGUACUCCAGCCUGGGUGACAGAGUGAGACUCCGUCUCAA
rnacentral:SRP_RNA from 1 species